ACUAUCCACACGAUGGCACAAGUAGGAAUGAAAACCCUUCAGUCAGAGAAUAGGAUACUACCCAAUUGCUCAGACAUUUUAAAAAAUCUUUCUUCUAGUCUUACAUUUAUUCUUGAACUGGAGGACAUCUUUUAUUACCUUUGCAUGGGAGCUUGUUGUAAGGGAACAAAAAUACUUGGGUUUACCAUAACACCUUGAGUUUCUAAUAAGACAAUUGCCAUUCAAAAAAUGGGAUGGACGUGUUGUGCCAUGAACUGAAGAUGUACUAUUCAAUUUUAGCAAGAACUGACUGCAAUUUUGUUGUGUAAUACCUAAACCUURACGACUACCCCUGCGGUACCCGCUAAGAAGCCGGCCAUCGGUUCAAAAAUGGAUUUCCAGCCACACUUGGUCACAAUAUGGCGGAAUACCCUUAACCAUGAACAGGACAUAUUACUACAUGAUUUUUCCCCCCUUCAAAAAUAGACGUCUGACCUAACUUGUACUAAGAGGUCCGUUCUAGAUAGGGUUAGCAGCUGCGCAUUGUCUGGCCGGUAUAUGGAAAGAAACUAAAUGAAGUGCUUUUCUGAUUGCUGGCUCUCAAAUCCUCAGAAGCUCUGGGGGGUAAAGGAUGGGGAACUUUGUCUGCAUGCUCCGCCAGUUCUCGAAACAAGAGGUACAGAUAUCAUAGGAGUUGUGAUAAGUGAACAUGACGGUAUUGGCUGGAGAGGAGUCAAUUGAAAUAUUGCCCAAAUUCUUUAAAACGUUUUAAAUUAUGCAAACAUCACUUUGUAUGGAAUAUGCUUUUAAUUUUGAAUUAUUCGCAAAAAGUGACAUCCGAGCCCAAAAUAUAAAAUAAAGCUUGUUAUUAUCUUUUCUUACAAUUGUCAUGACAAGAUAUUUUGUUCUAAAUUCUAUCCUAAGAUUUCGAAGUUAAGCUCAUGUGAAGGACUAACAAACUGCUAGGCACAUAUGUUUACAGCUACUCCUCCGGCCAUUUUUAAAAAUGCAUGCUAAAACGACCAGAAUGCGAUAGACGGAGUUUAUGAAGUUAGCGCGAUUGUACAUGUGUACUAGGUUAGUUGUUGUAUCUCGCCAUAGUG